UGGACCAAUGAUGACCACUGGUGGCGUAUGAGUUAUGCACAUGAAUACCAUGUUUCUAGAAUUCUGAGGUCCAA
ensembl:snoRNA small nucleolar RNA SNORD113/SNORD114 family